rnacentral:rRNA from 1 species
GCAAGUCGCGGGGUAACGAUGAACUUCGGUUCAGUCGACGACCGGCGCACGGGUGAGUAACGCGUACACGACCUACCUUACACUGAGGGAUAGCCCUGGGAAACUGGGAUUAAUACCUCAUGGUAUUAGAUAAUUGCGAUUUUCUAAUUAAAGGUUUCGACUGGUGUAAGAUGGGUGUGCGUUAGAUUAGCUAGUUGGUAAGGUAAUGGCUUACCAAGGCGACGAUCUAUAGCUGGUUUGAGAGGAUGAUC